rnacentral:rRNA from 1 species
CCUACGGGGGGCAGCAGUGAGGAAUAUUGGUCAAUGGACGGAAGGCUGAACGAGCCAAGCCGCGUGAAGGACGAAGGUGCUAAGCAUUGUAAACUUCUUUUGUCAAGGGACAAAAUCAGGCUCGAGAGCCUGACCGAGGGUACUUGAAGAAAAAGCAUCGGCUAACUCCGUGCCAGCAGCCGCGGUAAUACGGGGGAUGCGAGCGUUGUCCGGAUUGAUUGGGUUUAAAGUGUGCGUAGGCGGGCUGUUAAGUCAGCGGGAAAAGCCCGGGGCUCAACCCCGGCGAGCCGUGGAAACUGGCUGUCUUGAGAUUUCGAGAGGUAUGCGGAAUGCGCAGUGUAGCGGUGAAAUGCUUAGAUAUUGCGCAGAACUCCGAUUGCGAAGGCAGCAUACCGGCUGCGAUCUGACGCUGAGGCACGAAAGCGUGGGUAUCGAACAGGAUUAGAUACCCUUGUAGUC